UACGAAGGGGGCUAGCGUUGUUCGGAAUCACUGGGCGUAAAGCGCACGUAGGCGGAUUUGUAAGUCAGGGGUGAAAUCCCGGGGCUCAACCUCGGAACUGCCUUUGAUACUGCAAGUCUUGAGUUCGGGAGAGGUGAGUGGAAUUCCUAGUGUAGAGGUGAAAUUCGUAGAUAUUAGGAAGAACACCAGUGGCGAAGGCGGCUCACUGGCCCGAUACUGACGCUGAGGUGCGAAAGCGUGGGGAGCAAACAGG
rnacentral:rRNA from 1 species